UGGGGAAUUUUGGACAAUGGGGGGAAACCCUGAUCCAGCCAUCCCGCGUGUGCGAUGAAGGCCUUCGGGUUGUAAAGCACUUUUGGCAGGAAAGAAACGUCGCGGGUUAAUACCCCGCGAAACUGACGGUACCUGCAGAAUAAGCACCGGCUAACUACGUGCCAGCAGCCGCGGUAAUACGUAGGGUGCAAGCGUUAAUCGGAAUUACUGGGCGUAAAGCGUGCGCAGGCGGUUCGGAAAGAAAGAUGUGAAAUCCCAGAGCUUAACUUUGGAACUGCAUUUUUAACUACCGGGCUAGAGUGUGUCAGAGGGAGGUGGAAUUCCGCGUGUAGCAGUGAAAUGCGUAGAUAUGCGGAGGAACACCGAUGGCGAAGGCAGCCUCCUGGGAUAACACUGACGCUCAUGCACGAAAGCGUGGGGAGCAAACAGGAUUAGAUACCCUGGGUAGUCCACGCCCUAAAUGAUGUCAACUAGCUGUUGGGGCCUCCGGGGCCUUGGUAGCGCAGCUAACGGCGUCGAAGUUGACCGCCUGGGGAGUACGGUCGAAGAUU
rnacentral:rRNA from 1 species